rnacentral:rRNA from 1 species
AUGGGAAUCUCAAAAAACCUAUUGUAGUCCAGAUUGGAGUUUGCAACUUGACUCCAUGAAGUAGGAAUCGCUUGUAAUCGCGGAUCAGAAUGCCGCGGUGAAUACGUUCCCGGGCCUUGUACACACCGCCCGUCACACCAUGGGAGUUGAUUGCACCAGAAGUGGUUAGCGCUA